rnacentral:rRNA from 1 species
GGGCCCGCACAAGCGGUGGAGUAUGUGGUUUAAUUCGAUGCAACGCGAAGAACCUUACCAGGGUUUGACAUCCUGCGAAUCUCUUGGAAACAGGAGAGUGCCUUCGGGAACGCAGUGACAGGUGGUGCAUGGCUGUCGUCAGCUCGUGUCGUGAGGUGUUGGGUUAAGUCCCGUAACGAGCGAAACCCUUAUCGUUAGUUGCCAGCGGGUUAUGCCGGGGACUCUAGCGAGACUGCCGUUGUCAAAACGGAGGAAGGUGGGGACGACGUCAAGUCAUCAUGGCCCUUAUGGCCUGGGCUACAAACGUGCUACAAUGGUCCGUACAAUGGGUACCCAAGUCGCGAGACGGAGGCAAUCCCAUCAAAGCGGGCCCCAGUUCGGAUUGCAGGCUGCAAUUCGCCUGCAUGAAGCCGGAAUCGCUAGUAAUCGC